GGUUAAAUAGGGGAUAUUUUUGGUAUGAAAGUUCGUUAUUUCUCAAGUUAUCGGUUUUGUGCACGGAACAGAAAAAACAGUGGAAGUGCAAUGCACCAAAAUUACUAUAGGAACCGCUGUCGCCAAACUCAUACAAAUAUACCGAUAAACAUAUAUUGCACUACAAAGAAACAAACCGUUUGAUUUGUCGUUUUAAGUUUAGUCAAAACUAGCCUACGUCACAGAUUUGGAAACAAACCCUGACGUUCUAGAAAUAAGAUUUAUUUUGCUUUAGCGGAAGAACGUACUUACGAGCUAUAGUCACACUAGAUUCGAUUGUCCAGUUAAUUCCCCUACUUGACCAUAGAUGGCGGUAUUCUAAGUGGUAGCAAUUAUAAACUUAAUAGCGUUGAACAUAUGGUUGACAUUUUCGUGAUCGGUCGAUUUCUAAUGCUACUCAGCCAAGGCCGCACCACGUAGCUCAUAGAAUUAUCUAUCGAUAUCGAUAGAUACGCGUUAUUUUGUUCAUUCGCUAAAAUAAAAUUAGAAAAAGGUAAAAAAGUGCUGGUAUGUGUGCAUGCCUUUUACAAGUAUGCACUAUAAAUACUGCAACGUAUGAAAAUAGUAAAAUUUUAUUUAUUGCCCUUGAAAUGAAACAUAUUUGUUAAGAAACUGGCGUUUCGAAAGUCUUAUUUUUAAUUUUAAUAAAUGAUGUAUGCGAACAUUUAUAUAUUUUUCGACUAUUGCCUUCAUCAAAUUGGUAACGUGAUUGGACGCAAGAAAUUCGCCAAUUUGAUGGGAGGCAAUAUCGUUAAAUAAAAGAGUUCCUAUGAACUUUCGCAUUAUUUGAGUUAUCGCUACUUCUUUUCGAAAAUCUCUGGUUGAAAAUGGUGUGUCA